rnacentral:rRNA from 1 species
UACGGAGGGUGCGAGCGUUGUCCGGAAUCACUGGGCGUAAAGGGCGCGUAGGUGGCACGGUAAGCGUGUGGUGAAAGCUCGGGGCUCAACCCCGAGUCGGCCAUGCGAACUGCUGCGCUUGAGCACUGUAGAGGCAGACGGAAUUCCGGGUGUAGCGGUGGAAUGCGUAGAGAUCCGGAAGAACACCGGUGGCGAAGGCGGUCUGCUGGGCAGUAGCUGACACUGAGGCGCGAAGGCCAGGGGAGCAAACGGG